AACGAGAGAUGAGGAGCUUGCUCUUCAAAUCGAGUGGCGAACGGGUGAGUAACGCGUGAGGAACCUGCCUCAAAGAGGGGGACAACAGUUGGAAACGACUGCUAAUACCGCAUAAGCCCACGGCUCGGCAUCGAGCAGAGGGAAAAGGAUUUAUUCGCUUUAGGAUGGACUCGCGUCCAAUUAGCUAGUUGGUGAGGUAACGGCCCACCUAGUCUUCGAUGGAUAGGGGUUCUGAGAGGAAGGUCCCCACAUUGGAACUGAGACACGGUCCAAACUCC
rnacentral:rRNA from 1 species